rnacentral:rRNA from 1 species
GGCGUGCUUAACACAUGCAAGUCGCACGAGAACACCUCAGCUUGCUGGGGUAAGUAAAGUGGCGCACGGGUGAGUAACGCGUGGGUAAUCUGCCCUCGAAUCUGGGAUAGGCCCGCGAAAGCGGGGCUAAUACCGGAUGAAAUCCAGUUAGCUUUGGCUAUAUGGAUCAAAGGUGGCCUCUGCAUGCAAGCUACUGUUUGGGGAUGAGUCCGCGUACCAUUAGCUUGUUGGUGGGGUAAAGGCCCACCAAGGCGACGAUGGUUAGCUGGUCUGAGAGGAUGAUCAGCCACACUGGAACUGGAGCACGGUCCAGACUCCUACGGGAGGCAGCAGUGAGGAAUUUUGCGCAAUGGGGGUAACCCUGACGCAGCAACGCCGCGUGAGUGAUGAAGGCCUUCGGGUCGUAAAGCUCUGUCAAGUGGGAAGAACCCAUUCCGGCACAACAAGCCGGGGUGCUGACGGUACCACUGAAGGAAGCACCGGCUAACUCCGUGCCAGCAGCCGCGGUAGUACGGAGGGUGCGAGCGUUAUUCGGAAUUACUGGGCGUAAAGGGCGCGUAGGCGGCCGAUUAAGUCAGAUGUGAAAUCCCGGGGCUUACCCCCGGAAGUGCAUUUGAUACUGAACGGCUUGAGUAUGGGAGAGGGAAGUGGAAUUCCUGGUGUAGCGGUGAAAUGCGUAGAUAUCAGGAGGAACACCGGUGGCGAAGGCGACUUCCUGGACCAAUACUGACGCUGAGGCGCGAAGGCGUGGGGAGCAAACAGGAUUAGAUACCCUGGUAGUUCACGCAGUUUAUCGGUGAUCACUAAGUGUAGCGGGUAUUGACCCCUGCUGUGCCGGAAUUAACGCAUUAGGUGAUCCGCCUGGGGAGUACGGCCGCAAGGUUUAAACUCAAAGGAAUUGACGGGGGCCCGCACAAGCGGUGGAGCAUGUGGUUUAAUUCGACGCAACGCGAAGAACCUUACCUGGAUUUGACAUCUCGGGAAUCCCGCGGAAACGCGGGAGUGCCCUUCGGGGAGCCCGAAGACAGGUGCUGCAUGGCUGUCGUCAGCUCGUCUCGUGAGAUGUUGGGUUAAGUCCCGCAACGAGCGCAACCCCUAUCUUCAGUUACCAGCGAGUAAAGUCGGGGACUCUGGAGAUACUGCCCCGGUCAACGGGGAGGAAGGUGGGGAUGACGUCAAGUCCUCAUGGCCUUUAUGUCCAGGGCUACACACGUGCUACAAUGGGCUGUACAGAGGGAAGCGAUCUCGCGAGGGUGAGCCAAUCCCAAAAAGCAGUCCUCAGUUCGGAUUGGAGUCUGCAACUCGACUCCAUGAAGCUGGAAUCGCUAGUAAUCGCGGAUCAGCAUGCCGCGGGCAUACGUUCCCGGGCCUUGUACACACCGCCCGUCACACCAUGAGAGUUGGCUGUACCAGAAGUCGUCGGGCCAACC